UUAAGUACGAGAGAGAGAGAAGGGGGAUUUAUGGCUAGAGACAGUAUAGUACAUGUAAUUAUAGUAUUGGUAAUUGAAGUAGCUAUUUGUUCUGUCAAUCCUGAAUCCCAAAAAGCCAUUAUUGAAAAACAUUGGACAACAUUUUAUCAUAUUGCAUCUGGACAACUAGAAGGGUGUCUCAGGGAAUGUAAAAUUCGCUAUGAAACUAAUCAAAAAAUGAGAAAAAAAAUGCAUUAUAGAAUGUAUUGUCGCUGAAUGCAAUAGCCGUUAUUCGGAGAAAAAAGAUAGGAAAUUAUGCAUUAGAACACUUUAUGCUAAAUAUAUAGGACUUGCACAAUAGAGCUUGAUGAGAGUGCAGCCUCUCCCUCGCUAUUUCAUAUGGUGCGUUGAGUGUGGAGGAAAGGUGAAACGAGACUAAGUUCAGAAGCUUCCGGAUCUGGUUUUGCAAGAGAUUCGUUGAUUCUUUUCUUCUUUGUGUGAGUACUUCAAGGAACAGUGCUGCUUUAAUGACCUCAAUCAAUCAUUGUUCUUCUCUCAACCUCUAAUGGCUGAUGAUCAAGGAGAGGUUACUCCAAUGAUGGAUGCACAAUCUAUUGAAAUCUUUUUGAAUCAAAUUGCUGUGUUUCAGGAUCAGAUGGUGAAAACUCACAUCAAUCCGAUGCAAGAUCCAACGAGUUAGUAUUAUAUUCACCCAAGUGAAAACAUUGGUAUGCCUCUCAUUCCAAUUGUUCUUACUCCUAAUAAUUACGGUCUGUAGAGUAGAGCAAUGUUGUGAGUUUUAGAAGGAAAGAACAAAUUAAAGUUUGUUGAUGGUUCGUUGCCUCGACCACAUGAGAAUGAUCCUUUGUUUGACGCUUGAAAACGGUGAAUUACCUACUUAGUUUCUUGGAUUAAUUUAUCUUUGAGCCCCAAUAUUUCCAAUAGCGUAAGCUGGAACAAUAUAGCUUUGGAUCUGUGGAGAGAUUUGAAACAUCGAUAUUAUCAAAGUGACAAAUAUAAGAUAGUUGAAUUGCAAGAGGAUUUAUUUUCCAUGAAGCCAGGAGAUCUAGACGUCACCUCUUACUAUACGAAAAUGAAGUCAAUUUGGGAGCAUCUUGGAAAUUUCAGGCCAAUUCCUCAUUGUCGAGAUUGCAAUUUGGUGUGUUCUUGUGGAUUGGAGGCAAUAUGCCAGUACAGACAUGAGAACUAUACCACACGAUUCUUGCGAGGCCUUAAUGACCAAUACUCUUCAGUGCGGUCACAAUUGAUGCUGAUGAAUCCUAUGUCUGAUUUGGAUACUGUUUUCUCCAUGUUAAGUCAACAAGAGCGGCAAUUUGGCGAAGCACCAGAAUCUAAGGUGUUCUUCAACAAAACUACCACAAAGUCUCAAUCCUUUGAUGACAAAAGCAAAGGAAAAAGGUAGAGGUCGUGGUAAGGGUAAUCGGUCUUAAUGCACCUUUUGUGCUCACACCGGUCAUACUGUGGAGACAUGCUACAAGAAGCAUGGGUAUCCACCUCAUUUACGCCAAAGGCAGAUGGCAAUGUUAAUUACAUGGCAACUAAUUCACAGGCUGAGAAGGUCAUAGAUGAGCUCGGCUAAAGCAAUCUAAGCACUACUUGCCAAAAGGAAGCUAGUGAAGCAUCAAGACUUGAUCUCACUCAAAUUCAAAAGGAAGCUAUACUCAAGCUCCUCCAAGGUCAGGAUGCUCAGUCACAACCUCAUACUGCACCUCAGACAUAACUUCUCCCACACACUUCUCCAAUGAGUCAAGGUAGAAUUAUAAUUUUAAAAUAUAGCACCAUAAUUUUCUCUUUUGUUGCUGUGAAAUCCACCCUUUGGGUCAUUGACACAGGUGCUACUAAUCAUGUGACUUUUGAUCUUAAUGAUUUUGAGCCACACCAUUCCAUUCCCCCUAUAAUUGUUAGCAUUCCCCCUAUUACAAAUGUACUUUUUAUUCCUCUUUUGACUUUAAACUAAUUUCUGUGUCCAAAUUGACCAAAAAUUUAGAAGGUCAAAUGCUCAUUAAUGAUACAUUCUGUGAGAUCCAGGACCAAGCUAUUUUGAAGAGGAUUGGAGUAGCUAAAUGCACAAAUGACUUGUAUACAAUGAAUAGUAAACCAAUUGUUGGCACUUCUACCCACAUAGGUAGCAAAUUACCUCAUGAUUUUGUGGUUGCAGCUACUGCCACUUUGGAAAAUUCUGCUGCUAUAGUUAAUAAGGUAGAUACACUUUGGCAUUCACCAUUAGGUCAUGUUCCACAGCACAGGUUAGAAAUAAUGCACAAAAUAUAUCCUACGAUUGUUUGUGCUGCACACAUACAUCCAUGUAAUUCUUGUCAUUUAGCUAAACAGAAGAGAUUACCUUUU